AUUGAACGCUGGCGGCAUGCCUUACACAUGCAAGUCGAACGGCAGCACGGGUGCUUGCACCUGGUGGCGAGUGGCGAACGGGUGAGUAAUACAUCGGAACGUACCUUAUCGUGGGGGAUAACGCAGCGAAAGCUGUGCUAAUACCGCAUACGCCCUGAGGGGGAAAGCGGGGGAUCGAAAGACCUCGCGCGAUUAGAGCGGCCGAUGCCUGAUUAGCUUGUUGGUGGGGUAAAAGCCCACCAAGGCGACGAUCAGUAGCUGGUCUGAGAGGACGAUCAGCCACACUGGGACUGAGACACGGCCCAGACUCCUACGGGAGGCAGCAGUGGGGAAUACUGGACAAUGGGGGCAACCCUGAUCCAGCAAUGCCGCGUGAGUGAAGAAGGCCUUCGGGUUGUAAAGCUCUUUUGUCAGGGAAGAAACACCGGCUCUAACACAGUCCGGGAAUGACGGUACCUGAAGAAUAAGCACCGGCUAACUACGUGCCAGCCGCCGCAGUAA
rnacentral:rRNA from 1 species